rnacentral:misc_RNA from 1 species
AACGCACCUUGCACCCUUUGGUAUUCCGAAGGGUAUGCCUGUUUGAGUGUCAUGAAUACUCCACCAUUGGGUUUUUCCUGAUGAAUGGGAUUUGGACGUUGCAGCUGCUCGUCUUAAAUGGAUGCUUAUGGAUGUACAAGUUUCGUCUGAAUAAGCCUUGCCUCUGUGGCACCGCCACGGCUCCGGCCGCGGUUUUCAUUUUGACCUCAAAUCAGGUAGGACUACCCGCUGAACUUAA